rnacentral:misc_RNA from 1 species
CAACCCUCAAGCCCCCUUGGGGCCUGGUGUUGGGGGACGGCCCCUUCUGGAGCCGCCCCCGAAAUACAGUGGCGGUCUCGCUGUCAGCUUCCUCUGCGUAGUAGAAACACCUCGCACUGGGACGCGGCGCGGCCAUGCCGUAAAACGCAACCAUCUAUUCUGAAGG